GACCACAGCAAGCCAUCUCUAAAGCCAGAAAUGAGAUCCCAAGAGUCUUGGCUCCUUCAUCCUGGUUUUAUAACCUGCGCCGCACUACCUCUGAUUGAACAGAGUCCUGAGGCUGAUUGGCAACAUCAUGGUUCUAAUCCAAAAGAAACCCCUAAUAAUUUUCCUUUUGAAAAGCAGAGGGAAUCUAUUGCCAGAAAAAACGCCUCUGGAAAGAAGCUGGGGGAACUGGAUGAUGCAUCUUUGUCUCUGAGAAGGUGAACUUGAGAAAGGCUUUGGUAAGUUUCCUAAAUAUACAACAGAAUAUUUAUCUUCAGCCUUGAUCCAGGGAAAAAGGAGUACUGUUUCCUGAAAGGGAGGAGA